UACGUAGGUGGCAAGCGUUAUCCGGAUUUAUUGGGCGUAAAGGGAACGCAGGCGGUCUUUUAAGUCUGAUGUGAAAGCCUUCGGCUUAACCGGAGUAGUGCAUUGGAAACUGGGAGACUUGAGUGCAGAAGAGGAGAGUGGAACUCCAUGUGUAGCGGUGAAAUGCGUAGAUAUAUGGAAGAACACCAGUGGCGAAGGCGGCUCUCUGGACUGUAACUAACACUGAGGCACGAAAGCGUGGGGAGCAAACAGG
rnacentral:rRNA from 1 species